CCUGUAACAAACUCACGGGUUGUAUAAAAGGGAAGAGAAAAAUAAACUCGUAGCUCGGUCUUGGGAGCCCUGACGACUCUGUCUUUUUUCUUUUGAAGUGUGUUUUUUCUUUCAUCCUCACCCCUCCUCUCAGAUCCGGUCUCCUGCCCACCCCCUGUGACUGAGCUUCAUACACCCAGGACUUCACCUCUCCUCCUGGGCCCACCUGUGACCUGCGUGCCGCCCCCUCCCGGCUCUGUGAUCUCCUCUGGGGCUCUGACCCUCUUGUCCGUGCCUCUGUUUGUGGUUCCAUUCUUUGCUUUGAUGUCUCUUCCCCUAUAACCUGCAUAGACCUGCAGGCCAGAUGGCCAGGAAAGGAGUGUUCCAUCCUGACCAAGGGCCCUGGAGACAGAACACAGUCAUCUCCCACAAGCUGUAGUUUCCCAUGUGUCAAGGUCUGAACUUAUCUGGAAUUGGAGGCGGCAGGUCCACCCACGUCCUCCAUCUGAUCCCUCCGUGGCCAGCAGAGCUUUCACUGUGCCGAAUCUGCCGAAGGGGAAAACAAGGCCGAGAGAGACUUCAUUAGGUCCGGCGUUUGUCUUUGGAGGAAGUAUGCAGGCCCAGUCAUCUUUAUCUCCAUCUUUAUCUUGAGGCCUGGUCUCCAGCAGAUGCGUCUCCAGCUGCAGCUGUGAUGUCUUCCACCUUUCCCCUGACUCUCAGGCCCAGCCCUGUCUGACUGCCUGUAAUAUUUCUACCUAACUCAGCUGUCUGUAAUGAAAGGAGCCAAGGAUAAGAGCUCAGGGCUUAGCUCUGAAGCCCCCUGCCACCUCACAGUAGCUGUUUAUCCUCUUUCCUUUCCAUCCUUUUCCCCAAAAAAACUGUCUUUUAACUAGGACUGGAAGUCCCAUUUGACCCCACUAUUCCCCUGCUGGGGAUCUUCCCCAAAGAAUUAAAAGAUUCAUACCACAGUGCUACAUGUGCACCCAUGUUCAUAGCAGCACAGUUUGUAACAGCUAAAACUUGGAAGGAGCCCAAAUGCCCGUCACCUGGAGACUGGAUAAAGAAAAUGUGGGUUUUUAAUAAAAUGGAGUAGAACUCAGCCAUAAAAAAUGAGAAAUUAGAGACAUUUAUAGCUAAAUGGAUGGACAUUGAGGCCAUACUCUUAAGUGAAAUAAAUAGGACACACAUCUGUAAAUGCAGAAUAGUUUCUCUAGUGUGAGAAAUUGAAAGUGUAAAUAAGGACUAAAAGGUAUAAUAGAUAAUGUGAAAUAGGAAGAAAAGGG
rnacentral:lncRNA from 1 species